rnacentral:ncRNA from 1 species
AAUCCCUUAACGAGGAUCCAUUGGAGGGCAAGUUUGGUGCCAGCAGCCGCGGUAAUUUUAAGUUGUUGAAGUGACCUUGGGCCGGGUUGGCCGGUCCGCCUCAUGGUAAGCACCGACCUACUCGACCCUUCGACUCGGAUCGCACUCCUAGACUUAAUUGGUCAGAUCGUCUUUUCAGCAUCGUUACUUUAAAGAAAUUAGAAUGCUCAAAGCAAGCCAUCACUCUGGAUACAUUAGCAUGGGAUAA